rnacentral:rRNA from 1 species
GACGAACGCUGGCGGCGUGCUUAACACAUGCAAGUCGAACGGAAAGGCCCGGCUUUUGUUGGGUGCUCGAGUGGCGAACGGGUGAGUAAAACGGGAGUAAACCGCCCUUGACUUUGGGGUAACUUUUGGGAAAUGGGGCGCAAAUCCGGUAGGAGCUCCUGCUGCAUGGGGGGGGGUGGAAAGUUUCGGCGGUUGGGGAUGGACUCGCGGCUUAUCAGCUUGUUGGUGGGGUAGUGGCUUACCAAGGCUUUGACGGGUAGCCGGCCUGAGAGGGUGACCGGCCACAUUGGGACUGAGAUACGGCCCAGACUCCUACGGGAGGCAGCAGUGGGGAAUAUUGCACAAUGGGCGGAAGCCUGAUGCAGCAACGCCGCGUGCGGGAUGACGGCCUUCGGGUUGUAAACCGCUUUCGCCUGUGACGAAGCGUGAGUGACGGUAAUGGGUAAAGAAGCACCGGCUAACUACGUG